GGUGUUGGUGUCCCCCUGUUGCCCAGGCUGGAGUGCAGUGGCAAGACUGGCUCACUGCAACCUCCACCUCCUGGGCUCAAGCGAUCAUCCCACCUCAUCCUCCAGGAGCUGGGACUACAGACAGGUGACCAUUAAACAACACAGGUUUGAACUGCGUGGAUCCACUUAUAUGCAUACGUG
rnacentral:antisense_RNA from 1 species